rnacentral:rRNA from 1 species
UACGUAGGGUGCAAGCGUUGUCCGGAAUUAUUGGGCGUAAAGAGCUCGUAGGCGGUCUGUCGCGUCGGCUGUGAAAUCCCGAGGCUCAACCUCGGGUCUGCAGUCGAUACGGGCAAACUAGAGUAUUGCAGGGGAGACUGGAAUUCCUGGUGUAGCGGUGAAAUGCGCAGAUAUCAGGAGGAACACCGGUGGCGAAGGCGGUUCUCUGGGCAUUACCUGACGCUGAGGAGCGAAAGCAUGGGGAGCAAACAGG